UAGGUUAUCCGUGUUGCCUUCG
rnacentral:ncRNA from 16 species